GCUUCUUAAAUCUCCCUUGUGUAGAGAUUUCCUUGGCAGGCAACUCACAUCAUGGAGUUGUAACACAGACUAGCUGCAGCUAGAACAGCUGAGUGCAAACGAUGGAGGUACUGAGAGCUCAUUUGAGUUUCAAUGACACUGUUUAUACUGCUCAGAGAAAUGUGUUAAAAACACAAACCUCC